rnacentral:rRNA from 2 species
UAGGGAAUCUUCGGCAAUGGACGAAAGUCUGACCGAGCAACGCCGCGUGAGUAAAGAAGGUUUUCGGAUCGUAAAACUCUGUUGUUAGAGAAGAACAAGGACGUUAGUAACUGAACGUCCCCUGACGGUAUCUAACCAGAAAGCCACGGCUAACUACGUGCCAGCAGCCGCGGUAAUACGUAGGUGGCAAGCGUUGUCCGGAUUUAUUGGGCGUAAAGCGAGCGCAGGCGGUUUCUUAAGUCUGAUGUGAAAGCCCCCGGCUCAACCGGGGAGGGUCAUUGGAAACUGGGAGACUUGAGUGCAGAAGAGGAGAGUGGAAUUCCAUGUGUAGCGGUGAAAUGCGUAGAUAUAUGGAGGAACACCAGUGGCGAAGGCGGCUCUCUGGUCUGUAACUGACGCUGAGGCUCGAAAGCGUGGGGAGCAAACAGG